GAUGAACGCUGGCGGCGUGCCUAAUACAUGCAAGUCGAGCGAAUGGAUUAAGAGCUUGCUCUUAUGAAGUUAGCGGCGGACGGGUGAGUAACACGUGGGUAACCUGCCCAUAAGACUGGGAUAACUCCGGGAAACCGGGGCUAAUACCGGAUAACAUUUUGAACCGCAUGGUUCGAAAUUGAAAGGCGGCUUCGGCUGCCACUUAUGGAUGGACCCGCGUCGCAUUAGCUAGUUGGUGAGGUAACGGCUCACCAAGGCAACGAUGCGUAGCCGACCUGGGAGGGGGCUCGGCCACACGGGGCCUGGUAGCCGCCCCAGACGCCUACGAGAGGCAGCGUGAGGGAAUCUUCGGUAAGAGACAAAGGUCUGACGUAGCAACGCCGCGUGAGUGAUGAAGGCUUUCGGGUCGUAGAACUCUUUUGUUAGUGAAGAACAAGUGCUAGUUGAAUAAGCUGGCACCUUGACGGUACCUAACCAGAAAGCCACGGCUAACUACGUGCCAGCCGCCGCCGUAA
rnacentral:rRNA from 1 species